UUUUCCUCCAUUGAUAACUGUCGGAUCUGAGUCAUUAACUUCGAAGCUGUUUUAAAAAUGACGUCGUAACUAUUCUCGAGUCAGUACAAAAGACGACCGGUUUCGUUUUGCUCUUCACUUCUCCCGAAGACUCGAAAGGAACGUUUCCGCUAAAGUGAAUGACUGUGUAAUGAAGACAACGGAGUUACUUGUUGUGGCAACUGUCAUUCUGUCGUUCGACAACGUUUGUGACACGGUACCAACAAGAAGGCAACAACAAGGGUCACUACAGCGUCAUCAUCAGGGUCAACAGCGCCCCCAGCGAGUGGCGCUCGCUCCGGGGUACGAGAAGUAUCCUGACUUGACGACGUACGGGGACAUGCCACCUUUCCUGCCUGUAUACCCUGUGGUGCUGUAUGAUGGGUCCAUUUACUAUCCGUCUCCAAUGGACUUGCAAGAUCCUUAUUACUACAUGGGGCUGGGAGGAUAUGGACCCUGUCGCAGUGGCCAGAAGAAGCAUGGUCACAACCAUCAACCAAGACAAUAGAUAACCUUUCAACAACACGUGGACUGUCACAGCAAAACUGGCGUGUUAACAUCAGUCACUCAGUUUCUUAUUGACUCUGUUACAGCAUUCUCAGCCCUGGGUUUACCAGUGUGCUGUGGAACUUCAACUAAUCCAGUUAAAAUGGAAAACUUAAUUCAUAGUGACAUUUAUUUAAAUACUAAUAUUACAUUUGUCUUGUAUGUUACCAGUCUCAUCAUAACAAAAUGUUCAUAGAGAAGCUAAUACCAGUAAACUGCAGAGCAAGAACAACUUACAAGCAGUAAGCCAAUACAGCAAGACAAAGUACAUGAUACUUUAA